UACGUAGGGUGCGAGCGUUGUCCGGAAUUAUUGGGCGUAAAGGGCUCGUAGGCGGUUUGUCGCGUCGGGAGUGAAAACCCAGGGCUUAACUCUGGGCUUGCUUUCGAUACGGGCAGACUAGAGGUAUGCAGGGGAGACUGGAAUUCCUGGUGUAGCGGUGAAAUGCGCAGAUAUCAGGAGGAACACCGGUGGCGAAGGCGGGUCUCUGGGCCGAUACUGACGCUGAGGCGCGAAAGCGUGGGGAGCAAACAGG
rnacentral:rRNA from 1 species